GCAGAAGGCUGGACGGCCGCGCAGAAGGCUUGCCUUCCGCGAGGAAAGUCCGGACUCCCUAAAGCAACGGUGCCGGGUAACGCCCGGGCAGGGCAACCUGACGGAAAGCGCCACAGAAAUGAAACCGCCGCGUCCCCGGCAACGGAUCAGGGCACGGUAAGGGUGAAACGGUGGGGUAAGAGCCCACCGCACCCCUGGCAACAGGGGUGGCACGGCAAGCCCCACCGGGAGCAAUGCCAAAUAGGGCCCCCGCGCGGGCAGGUCCCGGCAACGGGAAACCGCCGCUAGGCACGCUUUAGCCAAGAGGGGCCGGGUUGGCAGCUAGAGGUGCGCAGCAAUGCGCAUCGCAGAUGAAUGGUCGUCCAUGGGGCUAUGCCCCGGGACAGAAUCCGGCUUACAGGCCUUCUGCGCAA
rnacentral:RNase_P_RNA from 1 species